GACGAACGCUGGCGGCGUGCUUAACACAUGCAAGUCGAACGGGAGUAUCGAAGAAGCUUGCUUUUAAGAUACUUUAGUGGCGGACGGGUGAGUAACGCGUGAGGAGCUGUCCUAUGCAGGGGGACAACAGUUGGAAACGACUGCUAAUACCCCAUAAGCCGAGAGGUAAAAGGAUUUAUCCGGCAAAGGAGGUACUCGCGUCCUAUCAGCUAGUAGGUGAGGUAACGGCUCACCUAGGCGAGGACGGGUAGCCGGCCUGAGAGGGCGAACGGCCACACUGGAACUGAGAUACGGUCCAGACUCCUACGGGAGGCAGCAGUGGGGAAUAUUGGGCAAUGGGGGGAACCCUGACCCAGCGACGCCGCGUGGGUGAAGAAAUCCUUCGGGAUGUAAAGCCCUGUUGUAUGGGAAGAGCAGAAGACGGUACCAUACGAGGAAGCCCCGGCAAACUACGUGCCAGCAGCCGCCGUAAUAC
rnacentral:rRNA from 1 species